rnacentral:rRNA from 1 species
GGAUGAGCCCGCGGCCUAUCAGCUAGUUGGCGGGGUAAUGGCCCACCAAGGCUAAGACGGGUAGCUGGUCUGAGAGGACGACCAGCCACACUGGAACUGAGACACGGUCCAGACACCUACGGGUGGCAGCAGUCGAGAAUCUUUCACAAUGGGCGAAAGCCUGAUGGAGCGACGCCGCGUGGGGGAUGAAGGGCUUCGGCUCGUAAACCCCUGUCAUUUGCGAACAAAGGCGCCGACCUAAUACGUCGUCGUCUGAUAGUAGCAGAAGAGGAAGGGACGGCUAACUCUGUGCCAGCAGCCGCGGUAAUACAGAGGUCCCAAGCGUUGUUCGGAUUCACUGGGCGUAAAGGGUGCGUAGGUGGUGGAUUAAGUCGGGUGUGAAAUCUCCGGGCUCAACCCGGAGGGUGCGCUCGAAACUGAUCUGCUUGAGGAUGGGAGGGGAGACUGGAAUUCUCGGUGGAGCAGUGAAAUGCGUAGAUAUCGAGAGGAACACCGGUGGCGAAGGCGAGUCUCUGGACCAUUCCUGACACUGAGGCACGAAAGCCGGGGGAGCAAACAGGAUUAGAUACCCUGGUAGUCCCGGCCCUAAACGGUGCGCACUUGCUGUGGGCGGAAUCGACCCCGCCCGUGGCGGAGCUAACGCGUUAAGUGCGCCGCCUGGGGAGUACGGCCGCAAGGUUAAAACUCAAAGAAAUUGACGGGGGCCUGCACAAGCGGUGGAGUAUGUGGCUUAAUUCGAUGCAAC